UACGUAGGGGGCGAGCGUUGUCCGGAUUCAUUGGGCGUUAAGCGCGCGUAGGCGGCUCCGCAAGUCGGCCGUGAAAUCUCCGGGCUCAACUCGGAGGGGUCGGGCGAGACUGCGAGGCUCGAGGUGGGCAGAGGGCAGUGGAAUUCCGGGUGUAGUGGUGGAAUGCGUAGAGAUCCGGAGGAACACCAGUGGCGAAGGCGGCUGCCUGGGCCUGGCCUGACGCUGAGGCGCGAAAGCGUGGGGAGCAAUCCGG
rnacentral:rRNA from 1 species